rnacentral:rRNA from 1 species
GGCAGGCCUAACACAUGCAAGUCGAACGGUAACAGGAAGCAGCUUGCUGCUUCGCUGACGAGUGGCGGACGGGUGAGUAAUGUCUGGGAAACUGCCUGAUGGAGGGGGAUAACUACUGGAAACGGUAGCUAAUACCGCAUAACGUCGCAAGACCAAAGAGGGGGACCUUCGGGCCUCUUGCCAUCGGAUGUGCCCAGAUGGGAUUAGCUAGUAGGUGGGGUAACGGCUCACCUAGGCGACGAUCCCUAGCUGGUCUGAGAGGAUGACCAGCCACACUGGAACUGAGACACGGUCCAGACUCCUACGGGAGGCAGCAGUGGGGAAUAUUGCACAAUGGGCGCAAGCCUGAUGCAGCCAUGCCGCGUGUAUGAAGAAGGCCUUCGGGUUGUAAAGUACUUUCAGCGGGGAGGAAGGCGAUAAGGUUAAUAACCUUGUCGAUUGACGUUACCCGCAGAAGAAGCACCGGCUAACUCCGUGCCAGCAGCCGCGGUAAUACGGAGGGUGCAAGCGUUAAUCGGAAUUACUGGGCGUAAAGCGCACGCAGGCGGUCUGUCAAGUCGGAUGUGAAAUCCCCGGGCUCAACCUGGGAACUGCAUUCGAAACUGGCAGGCUAGAGUCUUGUAGAGGGGGGUAGAAUUCCAGGUGUAGCGGUGAAAUGCGUAGAGAUCUGGAGGAAUACCGGUGGCGAAGGCGGGCCCCCUGGACAAAGACUGACGCUCAGGUGCGAAA